GGCAGGAUUUAAAUGAGAGGCUGGAAGCCUGGAGCAUCGCGGAGAGAGCAAGCAAGCAGGCUAGAAAAACGAGGAAACUAGGAAAGCGAGCGACCUAGAGGGAGUAGGGGAGACCGCGACUGACCUGUAGCCAGGCAGGUGGACAGACGCACGCCCGGACAGACAACCGAGCAGGCGCAGGAGAACCUCGCACUGGUUCCUCCCGCCUUUCUCUUUGAAAGCCAGGAUUUUGCCUUUUGCUUGGCGCCCGAGAGAGAAUGCUGGAUUCUGCCGACUUAAGCGCGAGCUAAGAUUUCUCAGCUAGGGAAGAAAGAUCAGCUUAAUCCUGAGAAGGGGGAAAUCAAUCUCCCCUGUCCCCAUCCCCUCCCCCCAUACCAAACUCGGGCGCCAAACCCAGCCCUUCCCCAACCAUCCGACUUCCUCCUCUCCUUUCUAGCAUGGUGGCUGUAUGGACAGUCUGACAGAACAGAGACUGACAUCUCCCAAUCUGCCGGCCCCCCACUUGGAACACUACAGUGUUCUGCAUUGCACCAUGACCCUGGAUGUGCAAACUGUAGUUGUUUUUGCCGUGAUUGUAGUCCUCCUGCUUGUCAAUGUCAUACUCAUGUUUUUCCUGGGAACGCGCUGAAUGGAGUCCAGCUUCCUGAGCUGUUGCGAACUCUCGCUUUGAUUUCAUCCCGAGAACCACCGAGAAUAAAAAAGAGACAGACAGAGACAGGGAAAGAAAGGGAGAGAAAGAGCAAGCAAAAUUUUUUACUCAGGGGGGAAAACGUUUUGAGCUUCAACAUGGCCUCGCUGUGAUAUCUGAUCACUGGAGAUUCCAUCGUUAGUGCUGAGGCAGUAUGGGAUCACGUCACCAUGGCCAACCGGGAGUUGGCAUUUAAGGCUGGCGACGUCAUCAAAGUCUUGGAUGCUUCCAACAAGGAUUGGUGGUGGGGCCAGAUCGACGAUGAGGAGGGAUGGUUUCCUGCCAGCUUUGUGAGGCUCUGGGUGAACCAGGAAGAUGGGGUGGAGGAAGGGCCCAGUGAUGUGCAGAAUGGGCACCUGGACCCCAACUCAGACUGCCUCUGUCUGGGCCGGCCACUACAGAACCGGGACCAGAUGCGAGCCAAUGUCAUCAAUGAGAUCAUGAGCACCGAACGUCAUUACAUCAAGCACCUCAAGGACAUUUGUGAGGGCUACCUGAAGCAAUGCCGGAAGAGAAGGGACAUGUUCAGUGAUGAGCAACUGAAGAUAAUUUUUGGGAACAUUGAAGACAUCUACAGGUUUCAGAUGGGCUUCGUGAGAGACCUGGAGAAACAGUACAACAAUGAUGACCCCCACCUCAGUGAGAUAGGACCCUGCUUCCUGGAGCACCAAGAUGGAUUCUGGAUAUACUCCGAGUAUUGUAACAACCACCUGGACGCCUGCAUGGAACUCUCCAAACUAAUGAAGGACAGCCGCUACCAGCACUUCUUUGAGGCCUGUCGCCUCUUGCAGCAGAUGAUCGAUAUUGCUAUUGAUGGUUUCCUUUUGACUCCAGUGCAGAAGAUCUGCAAAUAUCCCUUACAACUGGCUGAGCUCCUCAAAUAUACUGCCCAGGACCAUAGUGACUACAGGUAUGUGGCAGCUGCUCUGGCUGUCAUGAGAAACGUGACUCAGCAGAUCAAUGAGCGCAAGCGGCGUUUGGAGAAUAUUGACAAGAUUGCCCAGUGGCAGGCAUCUGUCCUAGACUGGGAGGGUGAGGACAUCCUAGACAGGAGCUCGGAGCUGAUCUACACUGGGGAAAUGGCCUGGAUCUACCAGCCCUAUGGCCGCAACCAGCAGCGGGUCUUCUUCCUGUUUGACCACCAGAUGGUCCUCUGCAAGAAGGACCUGAUCCGAAGAGACAUUCUGUACUACAAAGGCCGCAUUGACAUGGAUAAAUAUGAGGUAGUUGACAUUGAAGAUGGCAGAGAUGAUGACUUUAAUGUCAGCAUGAAAAAUGCCUUCAAGCUUCACAACAAGGAGACUGAGGAGGUACAUCUAUUCUUUGCCAAAAAGCUGGAGGAGAAGAUACGCUGGCUCAGGGCUUUCAGAGAAGAGAGGAAAAUGGUACAGGAAGAUGAAAAAAUUGGCUUUGAAAUUUCUGAAAACCAGAAGAGGCAGGCUGCAAUGACUGUGAGAAAAGUCCCUAAACAAAAAGGUAAAGCUGCCUUUAACCACUGCCACCCCAGCAGCCCCACUUACUCUCUUUGUGAGACUGGGAAGCCAUAAACCAUGUGAUUGUAUAUCCCCAGGCUUGUUUCCAGGCUGAAGUUCACUUGGGGUGAUGGGGAGUGUCUGGGUUUCCAGGUGUCCCUGAUGACAAGUGGCAAAUGGUCUUAAAGACAUAAGGCUUAGGAGUAAAUAGUGUAAGGUAUUUAUGUCCAAAAAUAGUUCUUUGGGUACAAGAAAAAAUAGAAUUUCUAUUUCUUUUCAUUUUUACAUAAGUAAAAGAGAAAAACUAAACUUUAUUCACAAUUUAGAGAGAGAUAGACAAUAAUAACAUGUAAUUUUUAUUAAUAAGUAUAUUUGGAAUAUGUAUACAAUUUUUAUUUCAUUUGUUUGGGGACAUUUUCAAGGUUAGGAGUCUCAAAUCAGAAUAGAGAACUUCAAACUGAACCAAGACAGAAGAUUCAGAUAUUUAUUCUCUUUCUCUGAACCAUAAACUAAAGUACUUAAAAAAGGAAAAUAGGGGUGCCUGGUGGCUCAGUCGGUUGUCUGACUCUUGAUUUUGGCUCAGGUCAUGAUCUCAGGG